rnacentral:rRNA from 1 species
UACGAAGGGGGCUAGCGUUGCUCGGAAUUACUGGGCGUAAAGGGCGCGUAGGCGGCUUAGUUAGUCAGGCGUGAAAUUCCUGGGCUCAACCUGGGGACUGCGCUUGAUACGGCUAGGCUAGAGGAUGGAAGAGGGUCGCGGAAUUCCCAGUGUAGAGGUGAAAUUCGUAGAUAUUGGGAAGAACACCGGUGGCGAAGGCGGCGACCUGGUCCAUUACUGACGCUGAGGCGCGACAGCGUGGGGAGCGAACAGG